rnacentral:rRNA from 1 species
AACGAACGCUGGCGGCAGGCCUAACACAUGCAAGUCGAACGCUGUAGCAAUACAGAGUGGCAGACGGGUGAGUAACGCGUGGGAACCUUCCCAGUGGUGCGGAAUAGCUCAGGGAAACUUGAGGUAAUACCGCAUAAGCCCCUAGGGGGAAAGAUUUAUCGCCAUUGGAUGGGGCCCGCGUCGGAUUAGCUAGUUGGUGAGGUAAUGGCUCACCAAGGCAACGAUCCGUAGCNGGUUUGAGAGAAUGACCAGCCACACUGGGACUGAGACACGGCCCAGACUCCUACGGGAGGCAGCAGNGGGGAAUCUUGGACAAUGGGCGCAAGCCUGAUCCAGCCAUGCCGCGUGAGUGACGAAGGCCUUAGGGUUGUAAA